AAACAUGGAGACUGUUCAGUCACCAGGAGCACAAAGUUAUUAUCGUGGGACUGGAUAACGCAGGGAAAACUAUCAUUCUUUUCAAAUUUUCUGUGAGUGAAGUUGUACAUAACUCCCGUACAACAGGAAGUAAUGUAAAGGAGACAGUGAUUAAUAAUACACGUUUCUUACUGUGGAAUAUUGGUGGUCAAGAGUCUCUUCUUUCUUUCUGGAAUGUUUACUAUACUAACACGGAGUUUGUAAUAGUUGUGUGGACGGUACAGACAGGAUUUCUGUAACUAGAGAAGAACACUGUAAAAUGUUAGCACAUGAGGACUUAAGAAAAACUGGAUUGCUGAUUUUUGCUAAUUAACAAGAUGUUAAAGAAUGCAUGACUGUAGCGGAAAUC
rnacentral:lncRNA from 1 species